rnacentral:misc_RNA from 1 species
GUGAAUCAUCGAAUCUUUGAACGCAAAUUGCACUCUCCGGUUUUCCGGGAGAGUAUGCCUUUUUGAGGGUAAGCCUAAAAAAAAGCGACAUUGUUGCUGUGUUGUGUGUCCUUUCGUCGGGGAUGGGUUAUCUUAAAUCUCGUUUUAAGCGACUUAAAAAUUUUUUUUACGAUUCUAAGAAUGUUUCUUAGUUUUUUCUUGUACGU